GGGAGAUUGACGGUACUGUAGGAAUAAGGACCGGCUAACUCCGUGGCCAGCAGCCGCGGUAAUACGGAGGGUCCGGGCGUUAUCCGGAAUCAUUGGGUUUAAAGGGUCCGUAGGUGGAGUUCUAAGUCAGAGGUGAAAGGUUGCAGCUCAACUGUAGAAUUGCCUUUGAUACUGGAGCUCUUGGGUUAUGUUGCUGUGGCCGGAACAUGUGGUGUAGCGGUGAAAUGCAUAGAUAUCACAUAGAACACCGAUUGCGAAGGCAGGUCACAAAGCAUACACUGACACUGAGGGACGAAAGCGUGGGGAGCGAACGGGAUUAGAUACCCCGGUAGUCCACGCCGUAAACGAUGGAUACUAGCUGUUGGGUUUUCGGACUCGGCGGCCAAGCGAAAGUGAUAAGUAUCCCACCUGGGGAGUACGUUCGCAAGAAUGAAACUCAAAGGAAUUGACGGGGGCCCGCACAAGCGGUGGAGCAUGUGGUUUAAUUCGAUGAUACGCGAGGAACCUUACCAGGGCUUAAAUGGGAGAUGACCGGGUCAGAGACGACCCUUUCUUCGGACAUCUUUCAAGGUGCUGCAUGGUUGUCGUCAGCUCGUGCCGUGAGGUGUCAGGUUAAGUCCUAUAACGAGCGCAACCCCUGCCGUUAGUUGCCAGCGAGUCAAGUCGGGGACUCUAACGGGACUGCCGGUGCAAACCGAGAGGAAGGUGGGGACGACGUCAAAUCAUCACGGCCCUUACGUCCUGGGCUACACACGUGCUACAAUGGUCGGUACAAUGGGAAGCCACCCCGUGAGGGGGCGCGGAUCUUAAAAGCCGAUCACAGUUCGGAUCGGGGUCUGCAACUCGACCCCGUGAAGCUGGAAUC
rnacentral:rRNA from 1 species